rnacentral:rRNA from 1 species
GACGUAGGGGGCGAGCGUUGUCCGGAUUCAUUGGGCGUAAAGAGCUCGUAGGCGGUUUGUCGCGUCUGCUGUGAAAUUUCGGGGCUCAACCCCGAACUUGCAGUGGGUACGGGCAGACUAGAGUGUGGUAGGGGAGACUGGAAUUCCUGGUGUAGCGGUGAAAUGCGCAGAUAUCAGGAAGAACACCCGUGGCGAAGGCGGCUCUCUGGGACGGUACUGACGCUGAGACGCGAAAGCGUGGGGAGCGAACAGG